rnacentral:sRNA from 1 species
GCCAGGUGUGGUGGCGCACACCUGUAAUCCCAGAGGCUCUGGAGGCUGAGGCAGGAGGAUCGUGAGUUCAAAGCCAGCCUCAGCAGAAGCGAGAUGCUAAGCAACUCAGUGAGACCCUGUCUCUA